rnacentral:rRNA from 1 species
AUGGCGGUGUGGCGUGCCGGACAGCUGAAGACGGACCUCAACUUCCCGAAGGUCCAGUCCCAGGCGGUGGCGGAGUGGCUCGUGCCGCAGGGCAUCCGGAUGGAGGAGAUGCCGGCGAAGAAGGCGAAGAAGAGACCGCCGGUUAUCGUCGCUCCAGGCGAGAGUGACGAGGCGGCGAUGGCUCGGUUUGCGUGA